rnacentral:rRNA from 1 species
UCGAGGAUCUUCGGCAAUGGGCGCAAGCCUGACCGAGCGACGCCGCGUGUGCGACGAAGGCCUUCGGGUUGUAAAGCACUGUCGAGGGGGAGGAAAGCCCGCAAGGGUCUGACCUAUCCCUGGAGGAAGCACGGGCUAAGUUCGUGCCAGCAGCCGCGGUAAGACGAACCGUGCGAACGUUGUUCGGAAUCACUGGGCUUAAAGGGUGCGUAGGCGGGCGAUCAAGUCAGGGGUGAAAUCCUCCAGCUUAACUGGAGAACUGCCUUUGAUACUGGUCAUCUUGAGUAAGGUAGGGGCGUGCGGAACUGAUGGUGGAGCGGUGAAAUGUGUUGAUAUCAUCAGGAACUCCGGUGGCGAAAGCGGCGCGCUGGACCUUUACUGACGCUGAGGCACGAAAGCUAGGGGAGCGAACGGGAUUAGAUACCCCCGUAGUCC